AAUGCAGCCAUUACUGCAAUCAAGUUGUUUCCUUAUGUCAUAUGAGGGAAUGAUGUGGGCCCAAAAAACUGUUUAGAGCUGAAGGAUUAUGUUCCAUUCUAGCCUCAUUGCCUGCUUUUUUAUCAUAUUGUUAUCCGCUGCUUAUGUUAGGGACACAAAGUAAGAGUACGAACUGUUUCCCGAUUCGCCAUUCCACACAACAUGUCUUUGUGACUGUAUGUACAUGCAGAUGAUCCAUAGCUGAAAAAUAUUCAGUACAGUAGAAUCUCAUUACAAGAUGCACUUGGUUGUAAGAGACAUCUGAAAAUGGUUUGGUUGGUUUUCCGAUGUUUGCCACGUUAACAAUACUGUAUACAAGAGACACCUUUGUUACUAAGGAUGACUUUUUAAGUAUUCACUACUUCGAAGGGACACAACCCACACACAUUCACUUUGUGCACCUUGUGUGCUCCGAAGGGCGUAAAGAUCACGCAAUCCUUACACAAGUCAAUCGCGCAUGUCUCUUUUAGCAUGAACCAGAAAAGGAGGGCAACGAGGACAGUGCAGGGCAGAAAGUGUCGGCAGUUGAAGCUGACGAGCGUCUAAGAGCACCUCAAAGGAGACAAUGCCUACGAAAUUAUUGGCCCUGAUCAUGAGAGCCCUCAAGGGGCAAACAACAUCUCUGUUGCAGAAGUGAGCCCGGUACCACUUGGAAGUUACCAUGACAGAUGACACGGCAGCAAUAGAUACAGAGACUGCCACGUCUACUGCAGCUGCAACAGUGUACGAGGCAAGCAGCAGCGCGUCAGCAGCAGUGUCAGAAGGAACCACACCAGGCCUGGUAGAGCAACAUGUGUGCUAUCACUGACUUUUUUUGUAGUGGAUACAACUCAUUUGCUCAACAUACAAAAGCUUUUCACCACGACUGUGAGCCAGUGUUAUUGUGCAGCAAGUGCAAGACUAAGUUAAGUGUUAUAACACAGUACAAGCAUCACUUUAACAUAUGAAAACAUAUUACAGUUGUUGCCUCCCCAGCCAGCCCACAUAGCCACAACAAUGUUGAACACAUGGUGGGACACACAUCUUCUCCAUUAGAAGAUAGUAGAGACUAUCAGUGUUGUUGUUAGAUUAACUGGUCUUUGUAGGCAACUAGGACAACACAGGUGUCAUAAGAUUGUUGUUGAUGUUGUUGUUGAAGAGGUAAAAAAGAAGUUUGAUGCAGCUGAAGUGCCAACUGAUAUUGAGCAAAUCAAAAGCAACCACCUGAGAAAGCAACACUAUCGAAAUUUGGGUAUCUAUGUGCCGCCAACUCUGGUAGGUAAGAAUGGCAUAGGACAGAAGUGUGAUGAAAAUCACACAGACACUGCUGUUGCAUCACUGGCCACAGUGAGCAGCGACUUGUAGGGCAAGAGAGUCAACUGAAACUAACAUUAUGAUAUAGUGUCAUGCUCCCAUGUGACCACUUUUCAAGUUAUUUUGCAAGAUACAGCUCAACCUCCAGAAACGAGACUGCAAGUUGUCUGUAAAAAAGCUUUCACAAAAAAUUAUUCAUAACACUAUUAACAUAGCAGUAUCUUUUUUUUUGUGUCGGUUCGAGGUUCCCGGCUGUCCAUUAAUGCAAAAAUUGAGGAAAAAAAGAACAUGUGUCGUACUUACACCUUUUUAACAAGUACGAGGGGUCAGAACUUUUCUAGUCAUGCAUCUUCAUCAUACUAUCAAGUUUUUAAAUGCCUUUUAUAAUUAUUAUUACCAGUUAUAUCUGAGUGCAUUGUAUGCAUGUAGCAGGUGUAAAGUCAGGUCAGUUGGAUCAGAUGCCUUAUCUGGAAGCGAGCCCUAUAUUCAAGAAAUUUGAAAUAAAAUAGUUACGUUAGAGACGCAGUCUUUCAGCACUUUAUUGCCUGUGGUUUAAGCAUUGCUCAAUACUUUUGUGGGUGGCAAUUUCAACCGGCACAGCACUGCGCUUUGCCACAGUCACAUUUGUCUUCAAAGCGGUGUUUACCAUUUGUGUUGAUCUGUUUGUGUAUGCAUAGAGCAAGUUUUUAAUUUAUAUUUUUCUGCAUUCUUGUGCUUGCACUAAGCUUGUAUAAGGCAGUUACAAAAUGUGCGGCACUAUAACGAACUGUUCUGUUGAGCUUACACUUGCAAAUAAUCGUGUUCAGAUGGCCGCACUUCUAUGCGGGUGCACCGCUAGCUUUGUGUAUGUUCUCAUGUUUGUAUAAAGCUUAUAUAAGCUAGUUAGAAAAUGUAUGUCACUAAGCAUUGUGAUAUUCUUUAAAGAACUGCUUGGUUGGUUUUACACUUGUGAAUUAGUAUUGAGGCGGUGGUAUUCCCAUGUAUGCCCACUGCUAGCUUUCUGUGUCCUCACGUGUUUGUAUUAAGUUUCUACAAGGGAGUUACAGCAUGUACGUCACUAAGCGCUGUGAUAUUUUUUAAAGAACUGCUUUGUUGGUUUUACACCUGUGAGUAAUAGUACUCGUGUGGCACUAGUCAUAUGUAGGUACACAGGGACCAUUUGUAUACAUUAUGCUCAUGUAAAGCAGUUACGAAGUGUAUGUCACUAAUUACUGUGAUAUUUGUUGAAUUGCUGUGAUGGUUUUACACAUGUGAAUAAUAAUGGUCAGGACACAGUACUUGCGGUGUAUAGUUGAAUUUAUACACUGCCAAGACAUGGGCUGUAUACGUACCAAAAGAAAUGUAUGUCAUUAUAUUGUUGUGAUUAUUACUGUUUGGAUUUCAUUAAACUGUAAUAAAAUUGUUUCUUGUA